rnacentral:rRNA from 1 species
UACGGAGGGGGCUAGCGUUGUUCGGAAUUACUGGGCGUAAAGCGCGCGUAGGCGGCUUUGUAAGUUAGAGGUGAAAGCCCGGAGCUUAACUCCGGAACUGCCUUUAAGACUGCAUCGCUAGAAUUGUGGAGAGGUGAGUGGAAUUCCGAGUGUAGAGGUGAAAUUCGUAGAUAUUCGGAAGAACACCAGUGGCGAAGGCGACUCUCUGGACACAUAUUGACGCUGAGGUGCGAAAGCGUGGGGAGCAAACAGG